rnacentral:rRNA from 1 species
AUGCUCAGCAUCAUGUCGCCUUUGUGUGCGCCGGAGGAACAGGCACCGAGUUCGCCUUUGAGUACGCCGGACGAACCGGCACCAAGUUCGCCGGAAUUCUUGGUCCAGAGAAGCACUAUGAGUCCAACGGUGGCUACAACAGAGAUCCCAAAGACUGAUAGAACUCAGGUGGAGGCCAAGGAGAUUCGGCUCUCGAACAUGCCACCAGUAACACUUGAUGAUAGCAACAUGCACAUUAAAACAAAUGACAUCACUGAAAUGAACAUUCGAGAGGAUUUCGAUAACCGACCUUCAAAAAAAGCAAAAAUUUCUGAAUCAGGUGUUUUGGAGACAUCACCAAUGUCACCAACUAUGUCAGCAUCUAAUCAAGUUUCUGAAUGUUUUGAAUCGAUUGUGCCUGAAUCAGAUAAUCAGAUAGAUCAUGAACCAUUGCAAUCACCUCCAUCACCGUCUAGCUCGACAUUAACUCCUGUUUUAAUAUUACAUGAUGUCAAGGGACCAGAUCCAAAUAAAGGGAUCAAAGUUGAUGAGACAUAUGAUUAUCUCCCACAAGACUAUACAUUGACCGAUCAUGAUCUAUGUGCUCAUAUAGCAAUAGAAUCAUCUUUGAGAAAACAGUUGCUCGUUCAGAUAGAUGGAAGUUGUGUCUUGCAAAAUCAAUUGAUGUGCCUGCUAAAUGAAAAGGAGUGGGUAAAUGAUGAUAUUAAACUUCCAAUAAAUGCCAACAACACACAUUGGUAUCUAGCUGUCGUGAAUACAAAAAAACAUGAGGUUCAAGUACUGGACUCAUUGUGCUGGAACUCUGACCGUGAUGAUCUCGCUCAUACGCUACGAGGAGUACAAUUUCAUUUGGACCUUCUUAAGAGUCAAAACUUGGUAAAAGACAAUUGGAAAGACAUUGAUCUCACCGAAUGGAAGAUCACGGAACAAUUACAAAAGGCAAUUCAAAAAGACAGUUAUUCAUGUGGUUUGUUUGAGGAGGUCGCUGGAGGGAGUCGCGGUUGA